rnacentral:rRNA from 1 species
GAUCCUGGCUUAGGAUGAACGCUAGCGACAGGCUUAACACAUGCAAGUCGAGGGGCAGCACAGGGUAGCAAUACUUGGGUGGCGACCGGCGCACGGGUGAGUAACGCGUAUGCAACUUACCUAUCAGAGGGGGAUAGCCCGGCGAAAGUCGGAUUAAUACCCCAUGAAACAGGGGUCCCGCAUGGGAAUAUUUGUUAAAGAUUCAUCGCUGAUAGAUAGGCAUGCGUUCCAUUAGGCGGUUGGG